UGAGACAUAGUUAAACUAGAAUGCUGGCUUUGGGGGUCAGUGGUGAGGGUUGAAGCCCCUCUGUCUCAA
rnacentral:tRNA from 1 species